rnacentral:rRNA from 1 species
UACGUAGGGGGCAAGCGUUGUCCGGAAUCAUUGGGCGUAAAGAGCGUGUAGGCGGCUCGGUAAGUCCGUUGUGAAAGUCCAGGGCUCAACCCUGGAAUGCCGGUGGAAACUGUCGAGCUAGAGUCCGGAAGAGGCGAGUGGAAUUCCUGGUGUAGCGGUGAAAUGCGUAGAUAUCAGGAGGAACACCGGUGGUGUAGACGGCUUUCUGGAACAUAACUGACGCUGAGACGCGAAAGCGUGGGUAGCAAACAGG